rnacentral:piRNA from 1 species
CGGGCCAGGGCUACUCGGAAGCAUCUAG